AGACAGCAGUCGCCGCGGGAAUACGGAGGAUCCGAGCGUUAUCCGGAAUUAUUGGGUUUAAAGGGUGCGUAGGCGGAUAGAUAAGUCAGUGGUGAAAGACGGUGGCUCAACCAUCGCAGUGCCGUUGAUACUGUUUAUCUUGAAUAUGGAUGAGGUAGGCGGAAUGUGGCAAGUAGCGGUGAAAUGCAUAGAUAUGCCACAGAACACCGAUUGCGAAGGCAGCUUACCAAGGCAAAAUUGACGCUGAGGCACGAAAGCGUGGGGAUCGAACAGGAUUAGAUACCCGAGUAGUCCCUGUCUCUUAUAC
rnacentral:rRNA from 1 species